CUUGCCUCACACCGGCCCCUCCCACGCGGACAGAGGUCAGCCUGAGCCCCUUGCCUCACACCGGCCCCUCCCACGCGGACAGAGGUCAGCCUGAGCCCCUUGCCUCACACCGGCCCCUCCCACGCUGAGAGAGGUCAGUGUGAGCCCCUUGUCUCACACCGGCCCCUCCCACGCGGACAGAGGUCAGCGUAGAGAGGUCAGUGUGAGCCCUUGCCUCACACCGGCCCCUCCCACGCGGACAGAGGUCAGCGUGAGCCCCUUGCCUCACACCGGCCCCUCCCACGCUGAGAGAGGUCAGUGUGAGCCCUUGCCUCGAGCCUGGUAGCUCCAGGUCGCCCACACUUUCAGGUCUCUUGCACCAGAAGGUGGCAGGAUCCAUUGGGAGGAAACAGGCCACCUUGGAAGGCGUCCCUGGGCCCCCAUCCCCAGGGGUUGGGGCCGUAGGGGGCCCGCUCUGCUGCGUUGACCAGACUCCUGGGCUUUGAAGGCUCCUGGGCCCAGUAAGAAGGAGGUGGGUG
rnacentral:lncRNA from 1 species